CAAAAGUUAGCCAGGCGUGGUGGUAUGUGCCUGUAGUCCCAGCUACUUGGGAGGCUGAGGCAGGAGACUUGCUUGCACUCGGGAAGCGGAGGUAGUAGUGAGAGGCGCUGAACCAGGGAGGCGCAGACUGCUGUGGUCCGAGAUCGCGCCGCUGCACUCCAGCCUCGGCGACAGAAUGAGACUUCGUCUCUGAAACA